rnacentral:rRNA from 1 species
CCUACGGGCGGCAGCAGUGGGGAAUAUUGCUCAAUGGGCGAAACCCUGAAGCAGCAACGCCGCGUGAAUGAUGAAGGCUUUCGGGUCGUAAAGUCCUUUCGUCAGGGAAGAUAAUGACGGUAUCUAACGAAUAAGCCCCGGCGAACUCCGUGCAAGCAGCCGCGGUAAUACGGAGGGGGCAAGCGUUACUCGGAAUGACUGGGCGUAAAGAGCGCGUAGGCGGGAUAGUAAGUCAGAAGUGAAAGCCUAGGGCUUAACCAUAGGAAUGCUUUUGAAACUGGACUUCUAGAGUAUGGGAGAGGUAGGUGGAAUUCCUGGUGUAGUGGUGAAAUGCGUAGAUAUCAGGAGGAAUACCGGUUGCGAAGGCGGCAAGCUGGACGGUAACUGACGCUGAGGCGCGAAAGCGUGGGGAGCAAACAGGAUUAGAUACCCGGGUAGUC